rnacentral:lncRNA from 1 species
CCAUUCCCAUUUUUGUGUCAUCCUCCCUAGGUUUUCCCUCCCCUUAGAGUUCUUGAGUGAGAGAGGUCUACAAAUUCUAAAAUUUGUGUAUGCACUGAGAUUUGCUGUGGGAAUGGAGGCGUUAACCUCCUCGUGUCCUCCGAGAUUUGAUUUCUAGGAUGCUUUUGUGAAUUGUGUUUGUGUUCUUCUUGUUCUUGCUCUCUCCCCUCUCAUUCUUGCUUCGAUUCAUCGUUUUGAGACCGAUUUGAUUCGUUCUUUUUGCGUUGCCUUGAGCUAUGACGUGAGUUGAGCCUUUCCACCGAAGGAAAUGAACUAAUUCCUCACAAGCUCGUAGAUCGGAUUGAUUUCGUGGCUAGAUUUCAAGAAACCCUAUUUUUCCUUCCCUUUUGAUUUCCCGUUGAUUGGCUUUAAAUUGAGCGAUGAUCUCCUAGAGGUAUCUCACCUAUUGCCUUGUGACCAUAUAGUUAAAAUUUUGUGGCAAUUGGUUUUGAUUUGAUAGCCAAACAAUCGGAUUUUUGGUUGGAGGCGAUUUUCGGAGCUCUAUGUUCUUGCUGAUUUGCAAUUCGCGGACAGUCCACUAUCAAACCACGGACAGUACUGGUGUCGGGGAUAGUUUUGUGUCGUUUCGGGUGUUUCUGUGUGUUUGAAAUGUGGACACUAUGUAGUACUGUAGCAGACAAUCUGGGUACCAUAGCAGACUAUCCGAGGUAUUGUAGCGGACUAUCCGAGGUACUGUAGCGUGCGGAGAUAUUAGAGAAGAGACAUAGAGAGAAGGCUCUACAGAAGCACAAGAAAGAGGAGAAAAGGAGACAUGUUGAUGCAUACAGAGAGGAGAGGAAUAAGAAGCUGAGCAUGUGCACCCAGCGAAUGCAGCAAUGGAGGAGAAUGUCAAUGCCUAGAAGAAGAAAGUGGCAUCGUUGCACUUAGUAGUUUACAUGACCUGCUAGUUAUAUGGUUUAUUUAUGAACAAUGUUGUUUAGUGUUGAAGUUUGCAGUUUGUUAUCAUGUAAUGCACUUUAAGUAUGGGACAUGUUAUGUGUUAUUUAAUUUGUUGUCAUGUAUUUUCAAAUGUUAUUGGACCUGUCAUAUGUGUUUAUAGUUUCAUUAUUAGUAGUCAUUGUAUUUAGUUCAAUAUUGUAGAGGUAGUGACAUGAGUUGAGGUAGUACAAAUAAAAUGAAAUUCAUACCACACAACAUAUGAAAUGGCAUGUCAAAACAUGUACCAAACUAGGGUACACAGGUCCUAGACUAAACCUAACAUACCUUAAGUAAUUGAAGCCAACAACAAACACAUGAAAUGGCAUGUGAGAACAUGUACCAAAUAAGGGUACAUAGUUCUUUCAAAUAACCCUAAGAUGCUUUAGGUAAUUUAACCAAACAACGAACAUAUGGAUCGGUUCUUGUGAUUAAGGAGG